rnacentral:rRNA from 1 species
UACGUAGGGUGCGAGCGUUAAUCGGAAUUACUGGGCGUAAAGCGUGCGCAGGCGGCGCGUUAAGACAGGUGUGAAAGCCCCGAGCUUAACUUGGGAAUUGCGCUUGUGACUGGCGUGCUGGAGUGUGGCAGAGGGAGGUGGAAUUCCACGUGUAGCAGUGAAAUGCGUAGAGAUGUGGAGGAACACCGAUGGCGAAGGCAGCCUCCUGGGCCAGCACUGACGCUCAUGCGCGACAGCGUGGGGAGCAAACAGG